rnacentral:misc_RNA from 1 species
AAUUAAUGUUAUUUCUAAAUUUAAGGUGAUAUAAUAAUGCUUUUGUUUUUUUUCAGACCAAGGCUGCAAAGCUCCAGAACAAAAACAGCUACACAAGGCAAAGCUUACGAAGAGCAACACCACAUUGGUCGUAAACCAACCACUGCUAAAGAGAAUGAGGGGAGGACUGCAGCUCACGAACUCUUAAGAGAAAAAUCUGAAGCAAAACCAGCAAAAUGGGAGAGAGAGGCAGAGAGA